rnacentral:rRNA from 1 species
UGGCUCAGAUUGAACGCUGGCGGCAGGCCUAACACAUGCAAGUCGAACGGUAACAGGAAGAAGCUUGCUUCUUUGCUGACGAGUGGCGGACGGGUGAGUAAUGUCUGGGAAACUGCCUGAUGGAGGGGGAUAACUACUGGAAACGGUAGCUAAUACCGCAUAACGUCGCAAGACCAAAGAGGGGGACCUUCGGGCCUCUUGCCAUCGGAUGUGCCCAGAUGGGAUUAGCUAGUAGGUGGGGUAACGGCUCACCUAGGCGACGAUCCCUAGCUGGUCUGAGAGGAUGACCAGCCACACUGGAACUGAGACACGGUCCAGACUCCUACGGGAGGCAGCAGUGGGGAAUAUUGCACAAUGGGCGCAAGCCUGAUGCAGCCAUGCCGCGUGUAUGAAGAAGGCCUUCGGGUUGUAAAGUACUUUCAGCGGGGAGGAAGGGAGUAAAGUUAAUACCUUUGCUCAUUGACGUUACCCGCAGAAGAAGCACCGGCUAACUCCGUGCCAGCAGCCGCGGUAAUACGGAGGGUGCAAGCGUUAAUCGGAAUUACUGGGCGUAAAGCGCACGCAGGCGGUUUGUUAAGUCAGAUGUGAAAUCCCCGGGCUCAACCUGGGAACUGCAUCUGAUACUGGCAAGCUUGAGUCUCGUAGAGGGGGGUAGAAUUCCAGGUGUAGCGGUGAAAUGCGUAGAGAUCUGGAGGAAUACCGGUGGCGAAGGCGGCCCCCUGGACGAAGACUGACGCUCAGGUGCGAAAGCGUGGGGAGCAAACAGGA